AUUACCGAGUGAGGGCCCUCUGGGUCCAACCUCCCACCCGUGUUUAUUUUACCUUGUUGCUUCGGCGGGCCCGCCUUAACUGGCCGCCGGGGGGCUUACGCCCCCGGGCCCGCGCCCGCCGAAGACACCCUCGAACUCUGUCUGAAGAUUGUAGUCUGAGUGAAAAUAUAAAUUAUUUAAAACUUUCAACAACGGAUCUCUUGGUUCCGGCAUCGAUGAAGAACGCAGCGAAAUGCGAUACGUAAUGUGAAUUGCAAAUUCAGUGAAUCAUCGAGUCUUUGAACGCACAUUGCGCCCCCUGGUAUUCCGGGGGGCAUGCCUGUCCGAGCGUCAUUGCUGCCCUCAAGCACGGCUUGUGUGUUGGGCCCCGUCCUCCGAUCCCGGGGGACGGGCCCGAAAGGCAGCGGCGGCACCGCGUCCGGUCCUCGAGCGUAUGGGGCUUUGUCACCCGCUCUGUAGGCCCGGCCGGCGCUUGCCGAUC
rnacentral:rRNA from 1 species